rnacentral:sRNA from 1 species
CCCUAGCCCCGAUGGAAACGGAAAUCCUUUUGAGGUUUUUUACCGAAAAAGAUUGUAGCGUACAGCGGGAAAAGCU